rnacentral:rRNA from 1 species
UGGGGAAUAUUGCACAAUGGGCGAAAGCCUGAUCCAGCAAUGCCGCGUGUGUGAAGAAGGCCUUCGGGUUGUAAAGCACUUUUGUCCGGAAAGAAAUCCUUGGCUCUAAUACAGUCGGGGGAUGACGGUACCGGAAGAAUAAGCACCGGCUAACUACGUGCCAGCAGCCGCGGUAAUACGUAGGGUGCAAGCGUUAAUCGGAAUUACUGGGCGUAAAGCGUGCGCAGGCGGUUUGCUAAGACCGAUGUGAAAUCCCCGGGCUCAACCUGGGAACUGCAUUGGUGACUGGCAGGCUAGAGUAUGGCAGAGGGGGGUAGAAUUCCACGUGUAGCAGUGAAAUGCGUAGAGAUGUGGAGGAAUACCGAUGGCGAAGGCAGCCCCCUGGGCCAAUACUGACGCUCAUGCACGAAAGCGUGGGGAGCAAACAGGAUUAGAUACCCUGGUAGUCCACGCCCUAAACGAUGUCAACUAGUUGUUGGGGAUUCAUUUCCUUAGUAACGUAGCUAACGCGUGAAGUUGACCGCCUGGGGAGUACGGUCGCAAGAUUAAAACUCAAAGGAAUUGACGGGG